CCUACGGGUGGCAGCAGUGGGGGAUAUUGCACAAUGGGGGGAACCCUGAUGCAGCGACGCCGCGUGGGUGAAGAAGCGCCUCGGCGCGUAAAGCCCUGUCAGCAGGGAAGAAAAUGACGGUACCUGAAGAAGAAGCCCCGGCUAACUACGUGCCAGCAGCCGCGGUAAUACGUAGGGGGCAAGCGUUAUCCGGAUUUACUGGGUGGAAAGGGGGCGUAGACGGUGGUGCAAGGCAGGAGGGAAAGCCCGGGGCCCAACCCCGGGACUGCUCUUGAAACUGCGUGGCUUGAGUGCAGGAGGGGCAGGCGGAAUGCGUGGUGUAGCGGUGAAAUGCGUAGAUAUCAGGAGGAACACCGGUGGCGAAGGCGGCCUACUGGACUGCAACUGACGUUGAGGCCCGAAAGCGUGGGGAGCAAACAGGAUUAGAUACCCGGGUAGUC
rnacentral:rRNA from 1 species